GCAAUAGUAGCUCAGCGUCUCAGAGCACCGGUCUUGUAAGCCGGACGUCGAAGGUUAAAUUCCAUCCUACUGCU
rnacentral:tRNA from 1 species